AUGACCGGAAAAAUCGCGACGGAAGGGCGUAUUGCAGUGGCGGAGGAUGCGCGACAGAAGGAGGGAGACCGGCGGCCGGUGGUGCAUACGACGAGGCUGGUGGUGCACGCGGAGAUUAGGCGGGGAGGAGAGGAGAAAUCACUUGCGGAAUUUCAAUGGAGGAGAAGAAAAUUAAUGAGUUUUUGUGAGUUGUGUUCUUGA